GAUUUUCUUUUGGGCUGGCAAAGACACCAGCCGUGUUCAUGCCGGCUGGUGGCAACCUAUUCAGGGGCCACAACUUCCGCGGUCAUUUAUUUGCCGCUUCUUUGAAAGCCCACCUCCCUGGCAGUCUCGGCGAAGCCUUGAAUCUCACGGCUCCGCUCCCUCUGGAAGGCGUGGAGAGGCCCAAGCCGGGAGGGCUGUCCGGGCACAGGCUCUUGCUCCAUCCCCACUGCCCCUGGUGAUGGACGCCAUGGGAAAUGAGUGAGCGGCCCUCCUGUAAGUGUUUGCAGCAUCUUGUCAUCAGAGAACCUCUCUGAACCUCUGUUUUGUCUUCUGUGGAAGGAAGUCAUCAUGGCGUCUACCAAAAAUACGGGACUGGGGUAAGGCAAGUGAAGCACUUAUUGGAGGCCCAACCUUUAGUUUGGUGGGAGGGGGCAUGCGCAGAAAAACUCAGUAAUUGAGAUAAAUAAUAUUUUAGCACAAUCUAUUUAAAUAUCAAAAUUAAUGCAAAGAUAUCCCCGAUAAAUGAAAGAUCAAAAUUGUAAAUAGAGAAACUCAGUAAUUGAGAUAAAUAAUAUUUUAGCACAAUCUAUGUAAAAAUCAAAAUUAACUCAAAGAUAUCCACGAUAAACAAAAGAUCAAAAUUGUGACUCAAGGCAGGAAAGACGAUUCAUAUUUCUGCGGUUUCCUUUGGCUUCAGGAAACUGUUCAGUAACUGUGAAAUAAAGGACCUUAGAUUGAAGGACUCUUUUCAAAGUUAUCUUAGCAAACCUCCUUGUUGAACGUGAGGGAAACAACGGCUGAGGGGUGGGGCUUUACUCCAAGUCAGUGACAGGGCUGGAGCAGGGUGCAGGGUCCUGGGCUUACCCAGGGCUCUCUCUGGGGUCUGCACCUAGACCGCCUUACCUCCGAGGGAAACCCUGCAAACCUCAGCCACGGGCCCCGCCAAUUGUUCCUGGCAGCGCUGAUCAAGGGAGGCCGGCCCUGUCUCCAGGUGUCCGUGCGAACUGACCUCUUCUGCAAAGUGACCAAAGUCCCCUCCCACUGUAAGAAUCCAGCCCCUUCCUUUCCCCAUUCUGCUCCAUUUCCCUCUGGCUAUUCAGUUCCAACCUAAUUUAUGUUGUUUGUUUAUUCUAGUUGGUUCUAUCCAUUCCUUUCUACCUCCUAGUCUAGCCCGCUCUGUUUUAUCAACUUUGGCUUAUUUUGUGCAUUUAUUCCAUCCUGUUUUAUAGUUUCCAUUCUAGUGUAUAUGUUCCAUUCCUUUCUAUUUUAUUUAUUUUAUCCAUUCCAUCCUUUUGGGUCCACCCCACCUCACUGUGCUCCUGCACGCAGCCCCGCUGAAGGGCCCCAGUGUUUAUUUAGAAGGGCACGGUGGAAACAUCCAUGUCUGCAAGCCUGCCUCCCAGGGGCCGCCUGCCGCCUUUCCGGCAAAUGCCCACAUGAGCUCAUGCUUUGUGGUUGGGGCUUUAAAAAAAAAAAAGUCAACAAAUUUGAAGGGAAAGCAAGGCCUGUCUUUCAUCUGAUAGCUCCCAGAUCCGUUUCUGAUCAGCCUCCCAUCAUCAGAGGUGUCUGCAAAAUUUCAGCUGCAAACAUUCACCUCCAUGUUUGCCUCCGCACCCGCUGCCAGCUGUCUGGGCACCCGCUGCCUUGGGGCUGCACUGCAGACGGGGUUGGGAGGGACCUUGGGGCUUCAUCCCAUCUUGAUGCUUCCUCAAGAAGAACGUUCUUGUUGGGGUGGCAGCCUGAGCUUCUCUCUUAACUGCCUUGUGCCUUCCACGCUUCCAGAAUUGUCAUAAAACUAGGAAGACACACACGUAUGCAUGCAAAAACGCACAAUAUCUCAACUUCCACUUCCCUGGCCCAGCGCCCUCAGCGCCAGGCUCUGUCACAGAGAUGAGGGCGCCCAUCAGGCAUUAAGUGAAACCUAGUGUUUGGUGCUUUCUUUUUCCUUUGUUGUUGCAAAACGAAAAUGUUUCUCUUGGAAAUCAAUGGUAAUGGUCUGUAUUCUAGACCUUUGUCUUUGCAUUGACAUGUAUAGGUGGAUAUUUUGCCAAAAAAAAGUUGUUUAGUAUUGUUCUGCCAUGAUUUGGUUUCACUCCUGGACAUAUUGUCAUGUUGGCACAUAUAGAUGUAUCACAUUUUUACUGGCUGCAUAAUAUUUCGUUGUAUGAAGUAUUGUUUUGUUUCGUGAUUUCUCUGCUGAAGAAUUUUUAUUUUUGCUUUUACAAAUAAAGU
ensembl:lncRNA novel transcript